AGCGAAACGCAAGAAGCCAUGUGUAACGCUAUUUUAUCAGACUACGAAUCUGGGGGUCGGGAGUUCGAAUCUUCCCCGGUGCGCCA
rnacentral:tRNA from 1 species